UACAGGGGGGGCAAGCGUUGUUCGGAAUUACUGGGCGUAAAGGGCGCGUAGGCGGUUCGUUAAGUCCUGUGUGAAAUCCCCCGGCUCAACUGGGGAACUGCACAGGAAACUAGCGGGCUUGAGUUCGGGAGAGGGAAGCGGAAUUCCGGGUGUAGUGGUGAAAUGCGUAGAUAUCCGGAGGAACACCAGUGGCGAAAGCGGCCACCUGGACUGUACCUGACGCUCAAACACGAAAGCUAGGGGAGCGAACGGG
rnacentral:rRNA from 1 species